GGGAGAGGGGCCGAGUAGUCAAAAACCGCAGACUGUAAAUCUAUUGAAGUUUUUCUACGUAGGUUCAAAUCCUGCCUCUCACA
rnacentral:tRNA from 1 species